GACGAACGCUGGCGGCGUGCUUAACACAUGCAAGUCGAACGGAAAGGCCUGCUUUCCCUUGUGGAUUGCGGGUACUCGAGUGGCGAACGGGUGAGUAACACGUGAGUGAUCUGCCCCCAACUCGGGUAUAAGCCUGGGAAACUGGGUCUAAUUCCCGAUAGGACUGCAGGGUGGUGCCUGUGGUGGGAAACGGUUUUCUAGUGGUUGGGGAUGAGCUCGUGGCCUAUGAGCUUGGUGGUGGGGUAAUGGUCUACCAAGGCGGCGACGGGUAGCCGGCCUGAGAGGGUGGACGGCAGCAUGGGGACUGGGACACGGGCCAGACGACUACGGGAGGCAGCAGUGGGGAAGAGUGCACGAGGGGCAGAAGCCAGAUGCAGGGACGCCGCGUGGGGGAUGACGGCCUUCGGGUUGGAAACUCCUUUCGACCGCGAGGAAGCCACCUGGUUGGAAGGGUGGUGACGGUAGUGGUAGAAGAAGCACCGGCUAACUACGUG
rnacentral:rRNA from 1 species